AGAGUUUGAUCCUGGCUCAGGACGAACGCUGGCGGCGUGCUUAACACAUGCAAGUCGAGCGGAAAGGCCCUUCGGGGUACUCGAGCGGCGAACGGGUGAGUAACACGUGAGUAACCUGCCCUGGACUUUGGGAUAACCCUCGGAAACGGGGGCUAAUACCGAAUAUCCACGGUCUACCGCAUGGUGGGUUGUGGAAAGUUUUUCGGUCUGGGAUGGGCUCGCGGCCUAUCAGCUUGUUGGUGGGGUGAUGGCCUACCAAGGCGACGACGGGUAGCCGGCCUGAGAGGGCGACCGGCCACACUGGGACUGAGACACGGCCCAGACUCCUACGGGAGGCAGCAGUGGGGAAUAUUGCACAAUGGGCGGAAGCCUGAUGCAGCGACGCCGCGUGAGGGAUGACGGCCUUCGGGUUGUAAACCUCUUUCAGCAGGGACGAAGCGAAAGUGACGGUACCUGCAGAAGAAGCGCCGGCCAACUACGUGCCAGCAGCCGCGGUAAGACGUAGGACGCGAGCGUUGUCCGGAUUUAUUGGGCGUAAAGAGCUCGUAGGCGGCUUGUCGCGUCGGCUGUGAAAUCCCGUGGCUCAACUGCGGGCUUGCAGCCGAUACGGGCAGGCUAGAGUUCGGUAGGGGAGACUGGAAUUCCUGGUGUAGCGGUGAAAUGCGCAGAUAUCAGGAGGAACACCGGUGGCGAAGGCGGGUCUCUGGGCCGAUACUGACGCUGAGGAGCGAAAGCGUGGGGAGCGAACAGGAUUAGAUACCCUGGUAGUCCACGCUGUAAACGUUGGGCGCUAGGUGUGGGGGGCCUCUCCGGCUCUCUGUGCCGCAGCUAACGCAUUAAGCGCCCCGCCUGGGGAGUACGGCCGCAAGGCUAAAACUCAAAGGAAUUGACGGGGGCCCG
rnacentral:rRNA from 1 species